rnacentral:rRNA from 1 species
ACUCAAAUGAAUAGACGGGGGCCCGCACAAGCGGAGGAGCAUGUGGUUUAAUUCGAUGAUACGCGAGGAACCUUACCCGGGCUUGAAUUGCAGAGGAAUGUGUCAGAAAUGGUACAGCCGCAAGGUCUCUGUGAAGGUGCUGCAUGGUUGUCGUCAGCUCGUGCCGUGAGGUGUUAGGUUAAGUCCUGCAACGAGCGCAACCCUUACUUUCAGUUGCCAGCACGUAGAGGUGGGGACUCUGGAAGAACUGCCUACGCAAGUAGAGAGGAAGGUGGGGAUGACGUCAAAUCAGCACGGCCCUUAUGUCCGGGGCUACACACGUGCUACAAUGGUAUAUACAGAGGGCAGCUGUUCGGUGACGGAUUUGCUAAUCUCAAAAGUAUAUCUCAGUUCGGAUUGGAGUCUGUAACUCGACUCUAUGAAGUUGGAUUCGCUAGUAAUCGCAUAUCAGCCAUGAUGCGGUGAAUACGUUCCCGGGCCUUGUACACACCGCCCGU